rnacentral:rRNA from 1 species
GGGCCCGCACAAGCGGUGGAGUAUGUGGUUUAAUUCGAUGCAACGCGAAGAACCUUACCAGGGCUUGACAUCCUGCGAACCUCUGGGAAACCGGAGGGUGCCUUCGGGAACGCAGUGACAGGUGGUGCAUGGCUGUCGUCAGCUCGUGUCGUGAGAUGUUGGGUUAAGUCCCGCAACGAGCGCAACCCACGUCUUUAGUUGCCAGCAUUUAGUUGGGCACUCUAGAGAGACCGCCGGUGAUAAACCGGAGGAAGGUGUGGAUGACGUCAAGUCAUCAUGCCCCUUACAUCCUGGGCUACACACGUACUACAAUGCUACGGACAAAGGGCAGCAAACUCGCGAGAGCUAGCAAAUCCCAUAAACCGUGGCUCAGUUCAGAUCGUAGGCUGCAACUCGCCUACGUGAAGGAGGAAUCGCUAGUAAUCGCAGGU